rnacentral:ribozyme from 13 species
UAGAACUGGAAAUCAGACGAACUAUAAUACUGCAACAGAUAAUAUUUUCAUGUAUUUCCCUUUUUUUUUUUUUUGUCAUAUAUCUUUUUUCACUUUGCU